rnacentral:rRNA from 1 species
AUGUUCAGAAAUGCUCAGAAAAAGUUCAGGAAAAGUCCAGAAAUCCACAUAAACAUCAUAUUCAAAUGCAUCUUAUCUCAUGUCAUAAAACUGCUGGCUCAGUGCAUGUGUGGACACUUUUUUUUUGCUAAAUGCAGAAUGGAUGUUAAAUUCAGUUGUAGAAUGAACAGUGGCCAAACUAGAAUGAACUUUACAUGGAGUAAUUUUUCUUAUCUGGAGGCAGGGUUCUCUAUAAUAAUGGAACUCACAAGUGGCCAUAAAAAAGUGAACAGCAAAAUGCACUUGUUUCGAAUAAUCAUACACUUGCUCUAA